rnacentral:rRNA from 1 species
UACGAAGGGGGCUAGCGUUGCUCGGAAUCACUGGGCGUAAAGCGCACGUAGGCGGAUCUUUAAGUCAGGGGUGAAAUCCCAAGGCUCAACCUUGGAACUGCCUUUGAUACUGGGGAUCUCGAGUCCGGAAGAGGUUGGUGGAACUGCGAGUGUAGAGGUGAAAUUCGUAGAUAUUCGCAAGAACACCAGUGGCGAAGGCGGCUGUCUGGUCCGGUUCUGACGCUGAGGCGCGAAAGCGUGGGGAGCAAACAGG